rnacentral:rRNA from 1 species
UCUUGNUCANNNAGAGGAAGUAAAAGUCGUAACAAGGUUUCCGUAGGUGAACCUGCGGAAGGAUCAUUAUCGUACAACCGAGGUGCGAAGGCUGUCGCUGACCCUCAAAGGUCGUGCACGCCCGAGCGCUCUCACACAAUCCAUCUCACCUUUGUGCAUCACCGCGUGGGUCCCCUUUGCGGGAGGGCUUGCGUUUUCACAUAAAACUCGAUACAGUGUAGAAUGUUUCUUUUGCGGUCACACGCAAUCAAUACAACUUUCAACAACGGAUCUCUUGGCUCUCGCAUCGAUGAAGAACGCAGCGAAAUGCGAUACGUAAUGUGAAUUGCAGAAUUCAGUGAAUCAUCGAAUCUUUGAACGCACCUUGCGCCCCUUGGCAUUCCGAGGGGCACACCCGUUUGAGUGUCGUGAAAUCUUCAAAACCCUUUUUUCCUUUGAACCAUUGCGGUCCGGGAAAAGGAUUUUUGGACUUGGAGGCUUAAUGCUCGCCCUUUCUUUUCGAAAGCGAGCUCCUCUCAAAUGAAUUAGUGGGGUCCGCUUUGCUGAUCCUUGACGUGAUAAAAUGUUUCUACGUUUUGGGUUUAGCACUGUCCCUUGGAUGCCUGCUCCUAAUCGUCUCAUUGACAAUGAUGGUGCUCCGGUCACCGCCGUCUACAUCGGCGGGAGGCUGGACCCACAAAAAGAAAACCUUGACCUCAAAUCGGGUGAGACUACCCGCUGAACUUAAGCAUAUCAAUNNNCGGANNA